rnacentral:rRNA from 1 species
GACGAACGCUGGCGGCGUGCUUAACACAUGCAAGUCGAACGGUAAGGCCCUUCGGGGUACACGAGUGGCGAACGGGUGAGUAACACGUGGGUGAUCUGCCCUGCACUUCGGGAUAAGCAUGGGAAACUGGGUCUAAUACCGGAUAGGACCACUGCCUGCAUGGUUGGGGGUGGAAAGCUUUUGCGGUGUGGGAUGGGCCCGCGGCCUAUCAGCUUGUUGGUGGGGUAAUGGCCUACCAAGGCGACGACGGGUAGCCGGCCUGAGAGGGUGACCGGUCACACUGGGACUGAGAUACGGCCCAGACUCCUACGGGAGGCAGCAGUGGGGAAUAUUGCGCAAUGGGCGCAAGCCUGAUGCAGCGACGCCGCGUGAGGGAUGACGGCCUUCGGGUUGUAAACCUCUUUCAGCUAUGACGAAGCGCAAGUGACGGUAGUAGCAGAAGAAGGACCGGCCAACUACGUGCCAGCAGCCGCAGUAA